rnacentral:rRNA from 1 species
UACGUAGGGCGCGAGCGUUGUCCGGAUUUAUUGGGCGUAAAGAGCUCGUAGGCGGCUUGUCGCGUCGUCCGUGAAAACCUGCAGCUCAACUGCAGGCUUGCGGUCGAUACGGGCAGGCUGGAGGCUGGUAGGGGCAAGCGGAAUUCCUGGUGUAGCGGUGAAAUGCGCAGAUAUCAGGAGGAACACCGGUGGCGAAGGCGGCUUGCUGGGCCAGUUCUGACGCUGAGGAGCGAAAGCGUGGGGAGCGAACAGG